GGCAGAAACCCUUUUGAUUGAUAGCCCAUCUGCAGCCUGCUGGAAUCCAUCCUCUUCCCACUUGCUGCUCCCCACCCAGCAAUUUCCAACUCAGAGCAAACCCGUGUGCCAGCCCUGCUGGUUUCAGCCUGCCUGCCCGGCAUCCCUCUCUCAUUCUGUCUCAUUCCCGACAGGGUUAACAUCUCUUCUGUCUCUGCCAGGAACACCCAGCUGAGGAAGAGAGAGCCGGAGAGCGAUAAGUGGGAUUCUUCCUUUUCUUUUUCGGAUUCUCCUUUCCUCCCUCCCCAUCACCGUAGAGACGGUCUCCGGGGCGAGCGAAGGUGUCAGCGUGCGGAGAGGCAGGGGAAGCAUAGCAACAGGACUUCAGGAUGAAGAAGGUCCAGGAGCACCAUCUCCGGGAGACCAGAUGGGGUUCUAACCUGCAGCUGGGUCUUCUGCCAUCUCCAUCCCUGUGCAGAAAACAGCCCAUAAUUCCAGACCUGCUGAUCAGCCCCAGCGACCAAGGCGAUGGGGACCUGGAGAUGGAGUACCCAGAAGAGAGAGGGAACUGGACCGGGAAGCUGGAUUUCCUUCUCUCCUGUAUUGGCUACUGUGUGGGGUUGGGGAAUGUGUGGCGGUUUCCAUACAGAGCUUACACCAAUGGGGGAGGAGCUUUCCUUGUUCCUUACUUCAUCAUGCUGGCAAUAUGUGGAAUCCCCAUCUUCUUCAUGGAGCUCUCGCUAGGCCAGUUCUCCAGCCUGGGGCCACUUGCAGUCUGGAAGAUAAGCCCGCUCUUUAAAGGUGUCGGGAUGGGCACGAUCCUGAUUGUCUCUCUGGUGGCCAUUUACUAUAACAUGAUCAUUGCUUACGUGCUCUUCUACCUCUUCGCAUCCCUGACGAGCAACUUGCCCUGGGAGCACUGCGGCAACUGGUGGAACACUGACCUCUGUUUGGAUCACCAGGUCAUCAAGGCAGGGAAUGCUGCCAUCCCAUUCAACGUCACGAACACCGUCAGCCCGAGCGAGGAGUACUGGAAUCGAUAUGUUCUGCAUAUCCAAGGGAGCUCUGGGAUCGGGGAUCCUGGGAGAAUCCGCUGGAAUCUGUGCCUAUGCCUACUGCUCUCCUGGGUCAUUGUGUACCUCUGUAUCCUCAAGGGAGUCAAAUCCUCCGGCAAGGUUGUGUAUUUCACUGCCACAUUCCCUUACUUCAUCCUGAUCAUGCUGCUCAUUCGUGGCGUAACACUGGAGGGGGCCUGGAUAGGAAUCAAGUUCUACCUCACACCCCAGUUUGAUCACCUGCUGUCUUCCAAGGUGUGGAUAGAGGCAGCUCUGCAGAUCUUCUACUCCCUUGGAGUGGGCUUUGGGGGACUGCUCACUUUUGCGUCUUAUAACACCUUCCACCAGAACAUUUACAGGGAUACAUUUAUAGUCACCGUGGGCAAUGCCAUCACCAGCAUCCUGGCCGGGUUUGCCAUCUUCUCCGUCCUGGGCUACAUGUCGCAGGAGCUGGGCAUCCCUGUUAACCAAGUGGCAAAAGCAGGUCCCGGCUUGGCUUUCGUGGUGUAUCCCCAGGCCAUGACGAUGCUUCCUCUUUCUCCACUCUGGUCUUUCCUUUUCUUCUUCAUGCUGCUAACCCUGGGCCUGGACAGCCAGUUUGCCUUCAUGGAGACCAUUGUUACCGCAGUGACCGAUGAGUUUCCUUAUUACCUGCGUCCCAAGAAGGCUUUUUUCUCAGCCAUCAUCUGUAUCGCCAUGUACCUGAUGGGGCUCAUUCUCACGACAGAGGGUGGGAUGUACUGGCUAGUCCUGCUGGAUGACUACAGUGCUGGGUUUGGACUCAUGGUGGUGGUGAUUACAACCUGCCUGGUGGUGACACGUGUCUAUGGCAUGAAGCGGUUCUGCCGGGAUAUUCAUAUGAUGCUGGGCUUCCAACCAGGGCUGUACUUUAAAGCCUGCUGGAUGUUCCUGUCCCCGGCAAUGAUGCUGGCCCUGCUAGUGUACAAUAUAGUCAAGUACCAGCCCUCAGAGUAUGGGAGUUACCGUUUCCCAUACUGGGCCGAGGUCCUUGGCAUCCUGAUGGGGCUGUUCUCCUGCCUGAUGAUCCCCACAGGGAUGGUGGUCGCGGUGCUCAGAGAAGAAGGGACACUGUGGGAGAGAAUCCAGCAAGCCAGCCGGCCAGCCAUGGACUGGGGCCCUUCUCUGGAGGAGAACAGAACAGGCAUGUAUGUGGCUACCUUGGCCGGCAGCCAGUCCCCUAAACCCUUGAUGGUCCACAUGAGGAAAUACGGGGGAAUUACCAGCUAUGAGAACACAGCCAUCGAGGUGGACAAGGAGAUCGAGGAGGAAGAGGAGUCCAUGAUGUGAGGAGGCCACGAACCCAGUGGGGAGCAGAGAAGGGGGACUGCAUCCGAACUUGACAGUUGCACUUAGCACUUGGGCCGGUUAAACAGGCCUUUCUAGAGGCAGCUGCGAGCUGCUGACCUUCCAGCAUCCCAUGGGAUGCCCUGGCCUGUCCAGGAGAACGCUGCUGAGAAUUCCUAUGUUGCUGAGAUUUUCGUUCAGUGUGGCAGGCUGUGUAAUGAAUGUGUGUGUUAGCUCUCCAGUGUCCGGGACCAGCUGCCCAACCCUACCCUGCUCCAGGCCUGCCCCACCUUGCCUGGGUGCCCUCCGCUCAGAGUUAUGACUCAUCGACCCCUGUGUAAAGACUGCGACAUGCACCCACUUUGCACUCCUUUUGCCCAGGCAUCAGUGAGCAAGGCAGUGGAGAACAAGGCUAGUAGUAGCUGUUGUUGUUGCUAAUCCUGUUUAACUCCAAUGACACACGAACAUUGUGAAGAAAGGAUGUCUUUGUUAACCCCACCCUGUCAGUGGAGGGGUGUGAGUGCCCGUGGGUCCCACCUCUGCUGGGGUCCUCCAACAACAGCAGGGAAGACCAGAUUGGCUAUUCUUGAUAGGUAAGUCUAGGGAAAAGAAACCCCAUGUUAUAAAACAAACCAACCUGCCCCCUCCCAGGCCUUUCUGGGCACAUCAGAGAAAGGUAAAACCUGGCCCUGGGUCUGUGAUAAAUCAGUCCUUUGCAGGUUGCUCUUAAGAGGUAUUUGCACUCUGGGCCCCUCUUCACACUCGGGGUGAGGUGGUGUCAGGUAAACUCCGCCGUGGACUG